UCCGGUUUAUCACCGGCAGUCUUCGCAGAGUGCCCAGCUUGACCUGAUGGCAACAGCGAACAAGGGUUGCGCUCGUUGCGGGACUUAACCCAACAUCUCACGACACGAGCUGACGACAGCCAUGCAGCACCUAUACAGGAGUCCUUGCGGAAAACGGCUUUCACCGUCGGUCCCCUGCAUUUCGAGCCUGGGUAAGGUUCUUCGCGUUGCGUCGAAUUAAACCACAUGCUCCACCGCUUGUGCGGGCCCCCGUCAAUUCCUUUGAGUUUCAGCCUUGCGGCCGUACUCCCCAGGCGGGGCACUUCAUGCGUUAGCGCCGGCACUCAGAGGGUCGCUCCCCCAAGCACCUAGUGCCCAUCGUUUACGGCGUGGACUAC
rnacentral:misc_RNA from 1 species